GUAGGUGGCAAGCGUUGUCCGGAAUUAUUGGGCGUAAAGCGCGCGCAGGCGGUCCUUUAAGUCUGAUGUGAAAGCCCACGGCUCAACCGUGGAGGGUCAUUGGAAACUGGAGGACUUGAGUACAGAAGAGGAAAGCGGAAUUCCACGUGUAGCGGUGAAAUGCGUAGAGAUGUGGAGGAACACCAGUGGCGAAGGCGGCUUUCUGGUCUGUAACUGACGCUGAGGCGCGAAAGCGUGGGGAGCAAACAGGGAUUAGAUACCCUGGUAGUCCACGCCGUAAACGAUGAGUGCUAAGUGUUAGGGGGGUUUUCCGCCCCCCUUAGUGCUGCAGCUAACGCAUUAAGCACUCCGCCUGGGGAGUACGGCCGCAAGGCUG
rnacentral:rRNA from 1 species